GACGAACGCUGGCGGCGUGCUUAACACAUGCAAGUCGAACGGUGACGAGGAGCUUGCUCCUCUGAUCAGUGGCGAACGGGUGAGUAACACGUGAGCAACCUGCCCCAGACUCUGGGAUAACAGUUGGAAACAGCUGCUAAUACCGGAUACGAGACGGAGAGGCAUCUCUACCGUCUAGGUAAAGUUUUUCGGUCUGGGAUGGACUCGCGGCCUAUCAGCUAGUUGGUGAGGUAAUGGCUCACCAAGGCGACGACGGGUAGCCGGCCUGAGAGGGCGACCGGCCACACUGGGACUGAGACACGGCCCAGACUCCGUACGGGGGGCAGCAGUAGGGUAAGUUUUCGGCAAUGGGCGAAAGCCUGACCGAGCGACGCCGCGUGAGGGACGAAGGCCGUUCGGGUUAGUAAACCUCUGUCUGGGGGGAUGAGAACGGACGGUACCCCGGAGGAAGCCCCGGCUAACUACGUG
rnacentral:rRNA from 1 species